CCUGGGAUGCCCGGCACCAUGCCUCAGUCCUCACGGGAACGGCGUUGUCCAGCCCUGGGGACGGAGGACCUGGGCUCGGGCCUCCGGCCUCGCUCAGUCACCAGGAGAAGUUGCGCUCCAGCUGGGGCCCACAGUGCUUGGCUCCAGCACCCCAUGGCGCCGGGGGUCAGGUGGGGGGAACGGGUUUCUUCUCGUUGGCACCCAUUUAAAUAAUUAAAUUUCCCCAAACAAGCAGGUCUCGUGGAGGCACACAAAUCCUGCAUGAACGCCCAAAGUGAAAGCUGGCAUGAGAAGCUAAUUUCACCUUAGAGAAAGGUGGCCUGGGGUGUGUGGCGGGUGCGUGGGCGUCUCUGUGCGGUGGUGGGGGCUCUGUGGGAGGUGGGGUUCACGGGCAGACUUUCCCGCCUGGUGCCCCCCUUCCCGUGGUCUACACCACUUGCCCAGCACUGUGCUGCCCGCCUGCCCCAUGCUGAGGGCGUCUGUACCUGCUAUGGGACGACCUGCGUCACCUACCGGGUGGACAGAGAGGAACCCGGAGCUGCUAAACCGCAUUUGGCUGCUGUAGUCCAGCUCUGCACAGCCAGAGAAGCAGAGCUGAGUUCCGCUGUGCCUGGAUAGGCUGAGACCUGGUUCACACAGAAAGAACAACAAAGCAAAGCAAAGUGAAAGGUGUUAGGAGAACCCACAUUUCUCCUGCUGAAGUUGACCGGGCCUGUUCUGCCGAAGCCUGUGCCUUCUUUGUGAGCCAGGAUGACGUAGGGUGGCUUUGGCGAGGGACCGACAGCCACGGGAGCCUGAGUCUUCCUAAAGCACUGGAGCUACGGAGGUCUCACUGCCUGCCGCGUGAGAUGGCUGAGGGACUUGGAGUCAAGCUCCUGGCGCACAGUAAGCAGACAGGUCACGUUCAUCCCUCUUCCUCCGCACCUCCGGUGGAGCCUUGGAGUACAAUGGCCACAUCAACGGACAAAGCCAAAGAAGUCAUUUUAAAAGCAUGAAGCAUUUCUUGUUGGCCUCAGUGGCUUGAAAAGCUCUUCCCACCCGGCUCUGGCCAUUUGAAUAGAGGAAGGCAGAGAUCCCAGCAAGCUGACAGUGACACACACAGCCAAUUUAGCCAGCCAUGUCCGGCCUCUGUCUCUGGAGAGCACGGCCCAGCGACACAGAAGCUGCCAGGAAGGUGUGCAGACCCUCCACCCAGAACGCAGCCAGCGGACGAUGGAGCAGGGACACUGAGGACCAGCCCUGGCCUCCAGGGGACACACCGAAGCCAAGCCCCAUGCCAGAGGCUCCACCCUGCCCAUGACACUGAUGCUGAACCGUGCACGGCCCCUGUCCUUGCCUGUUUCCCGGUCUCCAACCUUCAUCCAGCCUCAGGGGCACCGACUGUGGCUUUUCUUUGACCAGACAGUUAUGAUGGCUCUCUGGGCAGCAGUAUCCUUCCUGAUUAUUGAAUCUCAGAAUCAUUUUCAUAGCCAAGACAUCAAAUAA